GUUUAUUUUUAGUUGCAUGUACUCAAACAUACGUACAAAAAUGGCAUUUCUGCUUCUCUGUUGGUAUUUAAGGUAAAGGAUACAAUAUAACCUCUAAUGCAUUAUAUUUCCCCCAGUGCUUUUGCACAGGAUAACAAAAACAAUCUAUUUCCUUGAGUUUACAGAAUUACAUGUUUAGAUGUAGAUUUAACACAGUCUAAAAUAGUGUUG